rnacentral:SRP_RNA from 1 species
GCUGGGCGUGGUGGUGCACGCCUGUAGUCCCAGCUACUCGGGAGGCUGAGGCAGAAGAAUCACUUGAAUCCAGGAGGUGGAGGUUGCAGUGAGCUGAGACAGCGCCACUGCACUGCAGCCUGGGUGACAGAGCGAAACUCUGUCUCAA